rnacentral:tRNA from 3 species
GCUGAUGUAGCUCAGUGGUAGAGCACGUCCUUGGUAAGGACGAGGUCGAGGGUUCAAUCCCCUUCAUCAGCUCCA